rnacentral:lncRNA from 1 species
AAAAAAACAGUGUGGCUCUGCUAGGGUUCUUUUAUCCCAUCCUUGCGCCGCCGUUCUUAGCCCACCGGCCGAUUCAAAUCCCGGCCAUUCCGGCCCCGAUUCAGGCGAAGCAGGCUCGGGUUUCAACGGCAUAUCCUUGAAGGUGAUAUUCCCUUUUUUUAUUUUUUGUUUAAUAUACAAAAAAUCGGAAAAUAAAUAAAGCAAACAAAGAAAUAAAAGAUCUAAGUCAAAAUUCACCUCUUUUGAUUUUAUUUCACUGUUUUUUUCAAUUUACAGUCCUCUCCCCCAUUACAUAUUUUAAUCGGCUUUUAAAUAGCCGAAAAUAACAAUGAAAAUAAUAAAAAUAAAAAUAGAAAAUAGAAAAUCCCUUCUUUUUCGUUAUUUUGCUGUAGUCGUUGGCUGUUUGUUGCUGUAGGUUCGUGCGUGACGUGCGCGGGGUGGUCGAUUCCGAGACGUGCGGCGCUUGGGAACUUCUGGAGGCGGAGUAGCGGCUGUUGCGGCGCUGAGGCGAAUGCAUCUAGGGUUUCGGUGUUUUGGGGUUUGGGUAAUUGGGCCUAGGCUAGUAGUUUUGCUGUAUUGGGCCAUGUCCUGUUUUUGUGCGGGCUUGGGUUAUUUUUGUUUGUUAUUAUUAUUUUAAAAGCCCGGGCAAAAGGGCUAUUACAGUAUAUAUAUAUAGGUGUUGUGUGAUGAAUUCCCUAAUAAAUAUAUGUGGUUGUUAUGCAAUCUAUCCUUAUAAAUGUUAUGUAAAUGAACUCUUAGACAAUGCAUGUUAAAAUGUUACGCGUUACUAAACACAAGACUCUAAUAUAAUAUAUGUAUAUGGUUAUUGUGGAUGCAUGAUGGAAUGUUUGGGUUGUGGAU